UACGUAGGGUGCAAGCGUUAAUCGGAAUUACUGGGCGUAAAGCGUGCGCAGGCGGUUUUGUAAGUCUGUCGUGAAAGCCCCGGGCUCAACCUGGGAAUUGCGAUGGAGACUGCAAGGCUUGAAUCUGGCAGAGGGGGGGUAGAAUUCCACGUGUAGCAGUGAAAUGCGUAGAGAUGUGGAGGAACACCGAUGGCGAAGGCAGCCCCCUGGGUCAAGAUUGACGCUCAUGCACGAAAGCGUGGGGAGCAAACAGGG
rnacentral:rRNA from 1 species